UCUAAAGGGCAAAACUUAGUA
rnacentral:siRNA from 1 species